rnacentral:rRNA from 1 species
AUUGAACGCUGGCGGAAUGCUUUACACAUGCAAGUCGAACGGUAGAGGGGGCAACCCCUCGAGAGUGGCGAACGGGUGAGUAAUAUAUCGGAACGUGCCCAGUCGUGGGGGAUAACGUAGCGAAAGUUACGCUAAUACCGCAUACGAUCUAAGGAUGAAAGCGGGGGAUCGCAAGACCUCGCGCGAUUGGAGCGGCCGAUAUCAGAUUAGGUAGUUGGUGGGGUAAAGGCUCACCAAGCCAACGAUCUGUAGCUGGUCUGAGAGGAAGACCAGCCAAACUGGAACUGAGACACGGUCCAGACUCCUACGGGAGGCAGCAGUGGGGAAUUUUGGACAAUGGACGCAAGUCUGAUCCAGCCAUUCCGCGUGCAGGAUGAAGGCCCUCGGGUUGUAAACUGCUUUUGUACGGAACGGAAAGGUCUCUCUUAAUACGGGGGACUCAUGACGGUACCGUAAGAAUAAGCACCGGCUAACUACGUGCCAGCCGCCGCCGUAA